rnacentral:rRNA from 1 species
UACGUAGGGUGCGAGCGUUAAUCGGAAUUACUGGGCGUAAAGUGUGCGCAGGCGGCAGAGCAAGUCGAGUGUGAAAGCCCCGGGCUUAACUUGGGAAUUGCGCUCGAAACUACUUUGCUGGAGUGUGGCAGAGGAAGGUGGAAUUCCGGGUGUAGCGGUGGAAUGCGUAGAGAUCCGGAAGAACACCGGUGGCGAAGGCGGCCUGCUGGGCAGUAGCUGACACUGAGGCGCGACAGCGUGGGGAGCAAACAGG